AAAUUCGUGCGUUUCAGCUCAUAGCGUAUAUUAAGUUGUUGUGGUUAAAAAGCUCGUAGUUGAACCUUGGGCCUGGCUGGCCGGUCCGCCUCACCGCGUGCACUGGUCCGGCCGGGCCUUUCCCUCUGUGGAACCCCAUGCCCUUCACUGGGCGUGGCGGGGAAACAGGACUUUUACUUUGAAAAAAUUAGAGUGUUUAAAGCAGGCAAC
rnacentral:rRNA from 1 species